rnacentral:rRNA from 1 species
AUCAACGCUGGCGGCGUGCCUAAAACAUGCAAGUCGGACGGCCACCUUCGGGUGGCAGUGGCGGACGGCUGAGUAAGACGUGGGUGACCUGCCAUCUGGUGGGGGAUAACCCCUCGAAAGGGGGCGUAAGACCGCAUGAGGUCCUCGGAGCGUACCGGGGAGGAAAGACCGCAAGGCGCCAGGUGAGGGGCCCGCGGCCGAUUAGCUAGCUGGUGGGGUAAUGGCCUACCAGGGCAGUGANCGGUAGCUGGUCUGAGAGGAUGGCCAGCCAGACUGGGACUGAGAGACGGCCCAGACUCCUGCGGGAGGCAGCAGUUAGGAAUUUUGGGCAAUGGGCGCAAGCCUGACCCAGCAACGCCGCGUGGGCGACGAAG